rnacentral:rRNA from 1 species
GACGAACGCUGGCGGCGUGCUUAACACAUGCAAGUCGAACGGAAAGGCCCUGCUUUUGUGGGGUGCUCGAGUGGCGAACGGGUGAGUAGCACGUGAGUAACCUGCCCUUGACUUUGGGAUAACUUCAGGAAACUGGGGCUAAUACCGGAUAGGAGCUCCUGCUGCAUGGUGGGGGUUGGAAAGUUUCGGCGGUUGGGGAUGGACUCGCGGCUUAUCAGCUUGUUGGUGGGGUAGUGGCUUACGAAGGGUUUGACGGGUAGCCGGCCUGAGAGGGUGACCGGCCACAUUGGGACUGCGAUACGGCCCAGACUCCUACGGGAGGCAGCAGUGGGGAAUAUUGCACAAUGGGCGGAAGCCUGAUGCAGCAACGCCGCGUGCGGGAUGACGGCCUUCGGGUUGUAAACCGCUUUCGCCUGUGACGAAGCGUGAGUGACGGUAAUGGGUAAAGAAGCACCGGCUAACUACGUG